UUAAAGUACAUCGUUUUUUGUUUGAAGAUGAAUGAGAGAACAUGAGGGUAAGUUAAGUGAUGACAGAUUUUUGCUUUUUUAUUUUUAGUGAACUAUUAAAUAAGUAGAACAUUUAGUAUAACAGUAUGUCUUAAUUUUAACCCAGCUUCUUCAAGCGUGUAUGUUGUGUGGCUUUUGGAACAUAACGUUACAUUUUUUGUGAGUAAAGUUAGGCAUUUAAUUUCUCUUGUUGUAUUUCAGAAAUCAUAACAUCCUGUCUUUUUUAGCACAGCGGCAUUCAAAUUGACCAAUCAGAGCCGAGAAUAUCUAAUAAGUCGAAGUAGAGAUGAACAGAUGAAGAUACAGCCCAUAAAAAUACUUAUUCUUGGUGAGUGCCAUGUAGCGACGGAUCAAACGGACACUCAUGUCAAGCUUGAUGAGGACACAGUCAAAGCUUUAAAAGACCUUGUGAUUAAGUCUUCAGUGUCUGAAUGGCUAGAAGAAGUGACCCUCCACUUAAACGUGACAUUUAAACUGCUCUGUGUUUUGGUUCAGCCAUUUGCAGGUUUAUCUCGAGUUAGUUCAAAUGCACUUCUGCAUUUGUCCAGUAACUUUUUGUUUAGAGAAUUACAUCAUUAUGAUUAUAUAAUUAUUCAAUGGUUGCAUAUUCAUAGUGUACUUUUCAUAUUGAUGUAUUAAUGUUCCACAAUUUGAUAAAAGUAGCUCAUUGCAUUUCACUGAUCUUUGUUUUAUAUUGUAAAAUCAUUUCAAUAGCAGUAAAUACAUACUUAGUUGUUUCUUUAACAUUUAAUUAG